GAUCCGCCAUUAGUUUGCUGGUUUAACAAGCACAGACACCGAGCACAAUGGCUACAAGGAAGAGCAAGUCACACAUGAAGUGUUGUGUUGUUAGCUGCACAGAACAACACAAAUCCUUGCACUUUCUCCCAGCCUAAGAGAACAGAAGAACCGAGUGGCUCCAUUUCAUUUUCGAUGGCCAUGUUCCAGCAACAGUCAGCAAAAAUCUUGUGUGUGCGAACCACUUCAAGACAGAUUGCUUUGAAAACCUAGGACAGUACACUGAGGGAUUAGCCAUCAAACUUCGUUUGACAGAGGGAUCUGUACCUACUGUCCGUGGCAAGUCACAAGAUAAGAGACAUACUCUACCUGCUCUGCAUUACAAUGUGGAUGCUGCAUGAGACCAGGCCACCUUAUCCUCUGGGGACCCUCUCUACAGGAUGCAUUUCCCAAAGUACAGGAAGGGAGAGUGCAGGGUGAAACCCAUCAAAACCGAGACAACAUUCCGGUAUGUGGAAGACUUGAUGGGCUUCAUCAUGGGCGAGGUCUUUGGACCAAGAAGCAUACAGGGAGGAACUCCUGAAAAUAAACAUUUCUCCGGACCUGUCCUCAGAGUUUGAGCACCCAGAGAAGGAGGAGGUGAUCGCCAACUAUGUGUCUCACUUCAAUCCAGGGGAGGCAGUUUGAAGCCCACAUAUUGUCCUUGGCUGUCAGG